GAUGAACGCUGGCGGCGUGCUUAACACAUGCAAGUCGAACGGUGAAAGAGAGCUUGCUCUCUGGAUCAGUGGCGAACGGGUGAGUAACACGUGAGCAAUCUGCCCCUGACUCUGGGAUAAGCGCUGGAAACGGCGUCUAAUACCGGAUACGAGCUGCGAAGGCAUCUUCAGCAGCUGGAAAGAACUUCGGUCAGGGAUGAGCUCGCGGCCUAUCAGCUAGUUGGUGAGGUAACGGCUCACCAAGGCGUCGACGGGUAGCCGGCCUGAGAGGGUGACCGGCCACACUGGGACUGAGACACGGCCCAGACUCCUACGGGAGGCAGCAGUGGGGAAUAUUGCACAAUGGGCGAAAGCCUGAUGCAGCAACGCCGCGUGAGGGACGACGGCCUUCGGGUUGUAAACCUCUUUUAGCAGGGAAGAAGCGAAAGUGGCGGUACCUGCAGAAAAAGCGCCGGCUAACUACGUG
rnacentral:rRNA from 1 species